rnacentral:pre_miRNA from 15 species
GGGGGGCGCAGCACAGUGGCCGCAGCUGUGGUGCAUUGUAGUUGCAUUGCAUGUGUGAGAACAGGUGUGCAAUGCCCCUGCAGUGCAGCCCAGAUGGGGCUUCUUCCAGCACCGAGCGCC